CCGACCAUUGUUGGGAGUGGAUUGUUGGGAGUUGGACUACAGACUCCAUGGCUGCUGACGUGAACCUCCUGAGCCUCCAGACUCUGUCUGCCACAAUGACCAGAGACCAUCUGAGACCACCCAAGGAAGAACGCUUCGAGGGCAAGCGUUCUUCGUGGUCAAACAUUAUCUACAGUCAAACAUUUCCUUCGUGGUCAAGUAUAGCCCUCUGGCCGAGAGAUAGCUGGACCUGUUGGACACCAACUCCUUUAGGUUCAUCAAGAACACCACGCCCUGCCUCAGAGAUAGCUGAGCCUGCUUCCAGAGACACUGUCAGGUCGUAUACCCCCUAAUAGGCAGUAGAGUGAAGCCGUAUAUAUUUAAUAUGUAGUAAAUAAAGCGAAAUGUUUAGCUAUUA